rnacentral:misc_RNA from 1 species
GAAAUGCGAUAAGUAAUGUGAAUUGCAGAAUUCAGUGAAUCAUCGAAUCUUUGAACGCACCUUGCGCUCCUUGGUAUUCCAUGGAGCAUGCCUGUUUGAGUGUCACGUUAACCCUCACCCUUGUGAUGAAAAAUUUCAAGUGGUGGAUUUGGACUGUGCCGUAGCCGGCUCAUCCUGAAAUGCAUUAGCUGGCGCCUGUUAGAGUGCUCGGCAUGGUGUGAUAAUUAUCUGCGCCGUCGCCUGAUGCCUCUUCUGUGGAGCGCUGCUUACAACCGUCCCUUGUGGACAAUGACACAAAGCUUUGGCCUCAAAUCAGGUAGGAUCACCCGCUGAACUUAA